rnacentral:rRNA from 1 species
UAGGAAUCUACCUUCUUGUGGGGGAUAACCUGGGGAAACUCAGGCUAAUACCGCAUGAGCCUUACGGGGGGAAAGGAUGGGAUCGCAAGACCAUUCGCGAGAAGAUGAACCUGCGUCGGAUUAGCUGUUGGUGGGGUAAA